rnacentral:rRNA from 1 species
AUUGAACGCUGGCGGCAGGCCUAACACAUGCAAGUCGAGCGGAUGACGGGAGCUUGCUCCUGGAUUCAGCGGCGGACGGGUGAGUAAUGCCUAGGAAUCUGCCUGGUAGUGGGGGACAACGUUUCGAAAGGAACGCUAAUACCGCAUACGUCCUACGGGAGAAAGCAGGGGACCUUCGGGCCUUGCGCUAUCAGAUGAGCCUAGGUCGGAUUAGCUUGUUGGUGAGGUAAUGGCUCACCAAGGCGACGAUCCGUAACUGGUCUGAGAGGAUGAUCAGUCAAACUGGAACUGAGACACGGUCCAGACUCCUACGGGAGGCAGCAGUGGGGAAUAUUGGACAAUGGGCGAAAGCCCGAUCCAGCCAUGCCGCGUGUGUGAAGAAGGUCUUCGGAUUGUAAAGCACUUUAAGUUGGGAGGAAGGGUUGUAGAUUAAUACUCUGCAAUUUUGACGUUACCGACAGAAUAAGCACCGGCUAACUCUGUGCCAGCAGCCGCGGUAACAC